rnacentral:rRNA from 1 species
AUUGAACGCUGGCGGCAGGCUUAACACAUGCAAGUCGAGCGGGGGAGGUUGCUUCGGUAACUGACCUAGCGGCGGACAGGUGAGUAAUGCUUAGGAAUCUGCCUAUUAGUGGGGGACAAGAUUCCGAAAGGGAUGCUAAUACCGCAUACGCCCUACGGGGGAAAGCAGGGGAUCUUCGGACCUUGCGCUAAUAGAUGAGCCUAAGUCGGAUUAGCUAGUUGGUGGGGUAAAGGCCUACCAAGGCGACGAUCUGUAGCGGGUCUGAGAGGAUGACCCGCCACACUGGGACUGAGACACGGCCCAGAAGCCUACGGGAGGCAGCAGUGGGGAAUAUUGGACAAUGGGCGGAAGCCUGAUCCAGCCAUGCCGCGUGUGUGAAGAAGGCCUUUUGGUUGUAAAGCACUUUAAGCGAGGAGGAGGCUACUAGUACUAAUACUACUGGAUAGUGGACGUUACUCGCAGAAUAAGCACCGGCUAACUCUGUGCCAGCCGCCGCGGUAAUAC